UACGGAGGAUCCAAGCGUUAUCCGGAUUUAUUGGGUUUAAAGGGUGCGUAGGUGGCUUUUUAAGUCAGGGGUGAAAGACGGUAGCUUAACUAUCGCAGUGCCUUUGAUACUGAAGAGCUUGAAUAAACUAGAGGUAGGCGGAAUGUGACAAGUAGCGGUGAAAUGCAUAGAUAUGUCACAGAACACCAAUUGCGAAGGCAGCUUACUAUGGUUUUAUUGACACUGAGGCACGAAAGCGUGGGGAGUCAAACAGG
rnacentral:rRNA from 1 species